UACGUAGGGACCAAGCGUUGUUCGGAAUUACUGGGCGUAAAGGGCGCGUAGGCGGGAUGGCAAGUCGGUCGUGAAAUCCCUCGGCUCAACCGAGGAACGUCGAUCGAUACUGCUGUUCUUGAGGAUUGCAGAGGAGACUGGAAUUCCCGGUGUAGCGGUGAAAUGUGUAGAGAUCGGGAGGAACACCGGUGGCGAAGGCGGGUCUCUGGGCAAUUCCUGACGCUGAGGCGCGAAAGCGUGGGGAGCAAACGGG
rnacentral:rRNA from 1 species